GCUAAACGCGAAGAACCUUACCAGGUCUUGACAUCCCUCUGAAUCCUCUAGAGAUAGAGGCGGCCUUCGGGACAGAGGAGACAGGUGGUGCAUGGUUGUCGUCAGCUCGUGUCGUGAGAUGUUGGGUUAAGUCCCGCAACGAGCGCAACCCUUGAUUUUAGUUGCCAGCACUUUAAGGUGGGCACUCUAGAAUGACUGCCGGUGACAAACCGGAGGAAGGCGGGGAUGACGUCAAAUCAUCAUGCCCCUUAUGACCUGGGCUACACACGUACUACAAUGGCCAGUACAACGGGAAGCGAAGUCGCGAGAUGGAGCCAAUCCUAUCAAAACUCAUCUCAGUUCGGAUUGCAGGCUGCAACUCGCCUGCAUGAAGCUGGAGUUGCUAGUAAUCGCGGAUCAGAUGUCGCGGUGAGUACGUUCCCGGUCUGUUAC
rnacentral:rRNA from 1 species